rnacentral:tRNA from 1 species
GGCCGAGUAGGCGGCGAGUUGUAGCCUCGUGUACGGGUGAAGCGCCCCCCGACCAG